GAUGAACGCUGGCGGCGCGCCUAACACAUGCAAGUCGAACGAUUAAAGCACCUUCGGGUGUGUAUAAAGUGGCGAACGGCUGAGUAACACGUGGGCAACCUGCCCCCUUCAUUGGGAUAGCCACGGGAAACCGUGGAUAAUACCGAAUACUUCGAGACUUCCGCAUGGAAGACUCGAGAAAGCUCCGGCGGAGAGGGAUGGGCCCGCGGCCUGUUAGCUUGUUGGUGGGGUAACGGCCUACCAAGGCAAUGAUGGGUAGCUGGGUUGAGAGACCGACCAGCCAGAUUGGGACUGAGACACGGCCCAGACGCCUACGGGAGGCAGCAGUGGGGAAUCUUGCACAAUGGGCGAAAGCCUGAUGCAGCGACGCCGCGUGCGGGAUGAAGGCCUUCGGGUUGUAAACCGCUUUCAGCAGGGACGAGGCGAAAGUGACGGUACCUGCAGAAGAAGCCCCGGCUAACUACGUG
rnacentral:rRNA from 1 species